UACGGAGGGUGCAAGCGUUAUCCGGAUUCACUGGGUUUAAAGGGUGCGUAGGUGGGUUGAUAAGUCAGUGGUGAAAUCUCCGAGCUUAACUUGGAAACUGCCAUUGAUACUAUCAGUCUUGAAUAUUGUGGAGGUCAGCGGAAUAUGUCAUGUAGCGGUGAAAUGCUUAGAUAUGACAUAGAACACCAAUUGCGAAGGCAGCUGGCUACGCAUAUAUUGACACUGAGGCACGAAAGCGUGGGUAGCGAAUGGG
rnacentral:rRNA from 1 species